rnacentral:rRNA from 1 species
UACGUAGGGUGCAAGCGUUAAUCGGAAUUACUGGGCGUAAAGCGUGCGCAGGCGGUUGGGCAAGACCGAUGUGAAAGCCCCGGGCUUAACCUGGGAAUGGCAUUGGUGACUGCACGGCUAGAGUGUGUCAGAGGGGGGUAGAAUUCCACGUGUAGCAGUGAAAUGCGUAGAGAUGUGGAGGAAUACCGAUGGCGAAGGCAGCCCCCUGGGCCAAUACUGACGCUCAGGCACGAAAGCGUGGGGAGCAAACAGG